rnacentral:rRNA from 1 species
AUUGAACGCUGGCGGCAGGCCUAACACAUGCAAGUCGAGCGGAUGAAGGGAGCUUGCUCCUGGAUUCAGCGGCGGACGGGUGAGUAAUGCCUAGGAAUCUGCCUGGUAGUGGGGGAUAACGUCCGGAAACGGGCGCUAAUACCGCAUACGUCCUGAGGGAGAAAGUGGGGGAUCUUCGGACCUCACGCUAUCAGAUGAGCCUAGGUCGGAUUAGCUAGUUGGUGGGGUAAAGGCCUACCAAGGCGACGAUCCGUAACUGGUCUGAGAGGAUGAUCAGUCGCACUGGAACUGAGACACGGUCCAGGCUCCUACGGGAGGCAGCAGUGGGGAAUAUUGGACAAUGGGCGAAAGCCUGAUCCAGCCAUGCCGCGUGUGUGAAGAAGGUCUUCGGAUUGUAAAGCACUUUAAGUUGGGAGGAAGGGCAGUAAGUUAAUACCUUGCUGUUUUGACGUUACCAACAGAAUAAGCACCGGCUAACUUCGUG